rnacentral:rRNA from 1 species
GACGUAGGGCGCGAGCGUUGUCCGGAUUUAUUGGGCGUAAAGAGCUCGUAGGCGGCUUGUCGCGUCGACUGUGAAAACCCGCGGCUCAACUGCGGGCCUGCAGCCGAUACGGGCAGGCUGGAGUUCGGUAGGGGAGACUGGAAUUCCUGGUGUAGCGGUGAAAUGCGCAGAUAUCAGGAGGAACACCGGUGGCGAAGGCGGCUUGCUGGGCCAGUUCUGACGCUGAGGAGCGAAAGCGUGGGGAGCGAACAGG